AUGAUGAAUACUAAUGACCAUCAUAUAUCACAAAACAAGAUAAGACCAUGCUCGUCUCUUGAUAAACAACAAGAAGAAACACACAAGAUGUGCAUUGUAUUGGCCAUGCAAAUUGGCUGGGCAUCCAAAAACGGAUGCCCCCUAUAUUAUUGUUACCUCUUCUUCUGCCCAAAACGAAAAAAAUCACCUGCGGCUAAUUCUUCCAGGUUCCCUACCCAGCCAGCCAUGUAUGUAUCUUGUCAAUUUCAAUUAAACAUGCAAGACAGACAGAGGUUACGGGUUACCUGCACUGCACUGCCUAGGAUGAUAGUGGAUAUUGCUAUCAGUAUCAUCUCAAGACUUUCACCUCUAUCAUACAACAAUUUUUCAGUUCCUAGACUGAAAGAAAUCCCAAUGUCGACCAUCCUCGUGUUUUAUCGAUUGAACCAUACACCUACUGCAGGUACUGGUCAAUGUCAUUUCUUAAAAUCUGUCGACAAGAAAUGCCUGGCGCACUACACACAAAAUCUCUACUGGCAGUGCAAAUUAAAUGGUGGUGUACAAGACUGGGCGUUCAGAAACCCAUAUCCUAUAAUGUUAACCUGA
rnacentral:rRNA from 1 species